ACGCACGCUGGCGGCGUGCUUAACCCAUGCAAGUCGAACGGAAAGGCUCCAGCUUGCUGGAGUACUCGAGUGGCGAACGGGUGAGUAACACGUGGGUAAUCUGCCCUGCACUCUGGGAUAAGCCUGGGAAACUGGGUCUAAUACUGGAUAUGACCUUUCUCCUUAUGGGGUUUGGUGGAAAGUUUUUCGGUGUAGGAUGAGCCCGCGGCCUAUCAGCUUGUUGGUGGGGUGAUGGCCUACCAAGGCGACGACGGGUAGCCGGCCUGAGAGGGUGAUCGGCCACAUUGGGACUGAGAUACGGCCCAGACUCCUACGGGAGGCAGCAGUGGGGAAUAUUGCACAAUGGGCGGAAGCCUGAUGCAGCGACGCCGCGUGAGGGAUGACGGCCUUCGGGUUGUAAACCUCUUUCAGCAGGGACGAAGCGUAAGUGACGGUACCUGCAGAAGAAGCACCGGCUAACUAUGUG
rnacentral:rRNA from 1 species